rnacentral:pre_miRNA from 1 species
GAAGUACUCCCUCCGUUCGGAAUUACUCGUCUAAAAAAUAAAUGUAUCUAAAUGUAUUUUAGUUGUAAAUACAUCCAUUUUUGUGACAAGUAAUUUCGAACGGAGGGAAUAAGAG